GUGCGGCUGGAUCACCUCCUUUCUAAGGAGCACCACGAAAAGCACCCCAAUUGGUGGGGUGCGAGCCGUGAGGGGUUCCCGCCCGUAGUGGGUGGGGGCCGGGUGCGCAACAGCAAAUAAUUGCCAGACACACUAUUGGGCCCUGAGACAACACUCGGCUCGUUCUGAGUGGUGUCCCUCCAUCUUGGUGGUGGGGUGUGGUGUUUGAGUAUUGGAUAGUGGUUGCGAGCAU
rnacentral:misc_RNA from 1 species